UGCUCAGUGAUUUUUUUAACAGCCGCAGUACAUUGACUGUGCUAAGGUAGCAUAAUAAUUUGGCCUUUAAUUGGGGUCUGGGAUGAAAGGGAAAACAUGGAAGUACUGUCUAUAUUAUAUUUUUUAAAAAUUACUAACGGAGUGAAAAUUCUUCGAAGGGAAAAAAAGACGAGAAGACCCUAAGAAUUUUUAGUACAUUUUAUAAUAUAUUAGGGUUUUUGUUGGGGCGGCAAAUUUUCAUAAAACAAAAUUUUUUUUAGGAACAAGGAUUUUUUAAGGAAGGGAAAAUUACCUUAGGGAUAACAGCAUAAUAUUUUAUGAUUGUGACCUCGAUGUUGGACUAGGAAAGCACAUUACUAACCGUAAUGUUUAUAGGUUCUGUUCGAACUUCUCUCUCCUACGUGAUCUGAGUUCA
rnacentral:rRNA from 1 species